ensembl:snRNA U6 U6 spliceosomal RNA
UUGCUUCAGCAGCACAUAUACUAAAAUUGAAAUGAUACAGAGAAGAUUAACAUGGUCCCUGAGCAAGGAUGACAUGCAAAUUUGUGAAGCAUUCCAUAUUUUU